UACGAAGGGAGCUAGCGUUGUUCGGAAUCACUGGGCGUAAAGCGCACGUAGGCGGAUGUGUCAGUCAGGGGUGAAAUCCCGGAGCUCAACUUCGGAACUGCCUUUGAUACAGCACGUCUUGAGUCCGAUAGAGGUGGGUGGAAUUCCUAGUGUAGAGGUGAAAUUCGUAGAUAUUAGGAAGAACACCGGUGGCGAAGGCGGCCCACUGGAUCGGUACUGACGCUGAGGUGCGAAAGC
rnacentral:rRNA from 1 species